ensembl:lncRNA
AUGAUUUGUGGAUUAGAUGUGAAGCAGAAAAGGGAUGUACUGGAAAUAUUAUUAUUGUCUUUGGUUUUGUGUUUGUUUAGGCUGAAGGGUAGGCUGCUGAAUUUUGGAACUCUGUCAGUCUACACCUAGCUGUGCCCAUGGUGACAUUAACAGGAUUGCUCAUUGUUUCUCCUGAAUUAUCCAAAUAUUCUGUGUAUUAUUUGCUGAUUUCUAUCUCACAGCUGGAGUUGGAGCAUCUGCCAUAUCUACAAGUCCCUGUGAAGGAGUUGUUACUAUAGAAUGAUAUAUAUGAUGUAUAAAUAUGAACCUGUGAUGUAAUUACAGACAUGACUACUGUCAGAGUUGUACUGUUCAAAUUCAAGAAUUCAAUGGCACUGUGGUAUAAAAUAUUUUGAUUGUCAUAUUCAUGCUUGAAUAGAUGGAUUACAGAAUACAGUGGGGGAAUUAAGUAUUGGACGCUUCAAAAAAAUUUUCAGGCUAUUCACAUGAAAUUUUCACCAGACAUCAAUAUUAACUCGAAAUCUGGGAAUAUCAAGAACUUACAACAUUAAUGUCCAUAAAUAAUGUUAAGUGUAAUAAAAUGGAACGACACAUGAAAAAGUAUUGAACACGCAAAGAAAAAGCAGUUCUCCAAGGCAAAGAAACAGCUGAAAUCUGUAAGUAAUUAUCCCUCCUAUCUGUGCAAAUUAAUAUCAGCUGGGUUAGUAAAUUGAUGGUCUAUAAAAAGGCUUUUUGUUACCAAGGUGUCACACAAGAAUCAUCUCAUGAUGAAUAAAAGCAAAGAGCUGUACCAAAACCUUCAGAACCUUAUUGUUGCGAAACAUCUUGCUGGAAUCGGAUACAGAUUUAUCUCAAAACUUCUGAAUCUUCCAGUAAGCACCACUGGGGUCAUUAUCCACAAGUGGAAGCAACAUCACGCCUUCAUCAACCGGCCAC